rnacentral:lncRNA from 1 species
UUAAUAAGAAAUGAGUUAUUACACAUAUCGGCCUGAAAUACAUGAAAAUGACGAUACGUGAUAAUUGAUAUAUGGAAAUAUGAAAUGACGAUAUUGUACAUGAAAUUUAUUUGAUGAGUAUUUACAUCCUUGUUUAUAGACUUAUACACCUUGAGUGUAUAAAUCGUGACCUUGAUAUUUCGAGUAAUAUGAGUAAAGUUCUGAUAUGAAAUGAUCUGAGCUCGAAAUGAACUAGUAUGAGAUUAUACUUGUGAUAAUGAGAUGAAUAAUGUAUGUCGUGGAAAUCAUAUAUGCUUGGAG